rnacentral:misc_RNA from 1 species
UACGGGGGGUGCGAGCGUUAAUCGGAAUAACUGGGCGUAAAGGGCACGUAGGUGGUUAUGUAAGUCAGAUGUGAAAUCCCUGGGCUUAACCUAGGAACUGCAUUUGAAACUGUAUAACUAGAGUACUGUAGAGGGAGGUAGAAUUCCAGGUGUAGCGGUGAAAUGCGUAGAUAUCUGGAGGAAUACCGGUGGCGAAGGCGGCCUCCUGGACAGAGACUGACGCUGAGGUGCGAAAGCGUGGGGAGCAAACAGG